rnacentral:lncRNA from 1 species
AGUGCAUUUUACACCCGCGGAGGGGGCAGAAGGGGGGAGGGGGUGUGUGAGGCAGCCCUUAAUAAUCAUCUCAACACAGGCUGUUUUUGCAGAUAUUUCAAUGUGAUGUGUCUUUCCCCCUUUUUUUUCCCCUUCAGGAGACAUUAAAUAAUCAGAGCAAUAGUGCGAGCUGCUGCACACCGAGGCUGCUUGUACAACGGGGCUUCACCUCAGCUGAACUUGACGCAUCUGGUUCAUCGGCGGCGCAGGACGCGCGGCGCAGUCAGCAGCUCUGUGUCCCCGCUGAACCGAGCUGGAUGGCGGCGGAGUGAAACGCGGAGGAGGGGGGGAGAGAGAGCACAACUCAUCCGCGGUUGCUUAAGGAGACAGCUCUUCCUGCACAUUCAACGUGACGACUUUUUUUUUUCUUUUCUUUUUUGUACCUCUCAUCCUUCAAAUAAUGUCGCUUCGUGUUCGCUACUUGAUGCUUUUUGUGGACACCAGACAUACUGUGGAGGACAAGCCACCGAGUGACAGAUGUAAAGCCGGCAGACACGGUUGUUGGACACACGGAGGAAGAGAGAGACCCAAGUUGAACUUGAGACAGGUUAGUGCGCAGUCUUUUAUUCUGUCCUCGCUGAAAGGCCUGUUUGUGAGAGGUUUAUCUGAGCGGAAAGUGCUAAAAAAUAACAAAGCAGUGGUCGUUUUGUCGAGUGAAGCUAGACUUGUGUUAAAUAAUGAAACUGUAUAUCUCCUCUGGUGAAUAUUGACACUGUUCCAUCUAAACCGGUCCGCUGUCCUCGGGGAAGUUUCAAGAAAGAGCUUCAUAUCAACGACACAGCUUAAAAUAAUCGACAUAAAUGCAAAAUAAAGACUAAAGCAGCCUCUAGUUUUUUACGUGAAGAUGAAAUGGUCGCCAGACAGUAAAUUCUGGAUAGCAAUAGACGAAAAAGAGGUCGCCUUUUCGUGCCCUACUUUCCCUUCGCAGAGAGGCAUAAUCUUCCCCUUUGUUGUCCCCCGGUGCAAAACAUAGAUAGGCAGCCGGGCAGAUCCCGUCAGUCCAGCGGAAACAUCUCCACUCUUCUAAAUGAGCAAUUCAUAGGAUUUCAGGAAAAUAUGCUUUUAAUUAGAAACGCAGCAUCUCUGGAGCUGUCAGCCAGAGAUAAUCAGUGUAUGUCAGACAUUAAAACAUAUGGCAGAGCUGUGCGGUUUCCCUGAUGUGUCACUGUGGUUUCCCCCAGUGAAGUUUUUGAUGAAAUUAAUUCAGUGAAAUGUGAGAGGAGCUAUUUCUGCAGUAGCUGGAUGUAUUUUAAAUGGUUAACAGGCCUGUAUAGGCUUCCAGUCUGUCUCUCAGGUGUGCAGCAAGCUUAGUUAAAAGCAUAAGGUGUGUAAAAUUUAAUUGAAAUUCCUUUGAGAGAUGAAAUUGGGUUGCGAGCAAUCAUAUUUGUUUGGUGAUACAUAUAAAAGUGUGCUCAGACACUCAUAACAGUAGCUGCAUAGUAAUCAAGAGGGAUGUUAAGAUUUGUCGGCAAGUGUACCAAACAAAUGAGUAGUUUUUAGGUUCAAAUAGAGUUCAUUUUAUAUCCCAAACCUUAUCUCCCCAUGGCUGUAGAUUAAUUAUUAAUAAGACUGCACAUUUUCCUAAAAAAAUACCUUUUUUUCUCAGCAACUACAGCAAAAAUAGCAUCAAAGCAUUUAAGAUCAUCUACACAAUAUUGAUUUGCAAAUGAAUCAAACUGGGUUUUUUUUACACUGCAUGCAUAAAAAAGCAGGAUUUGAAUCCGGAGUGUCCUGCUUUACAGCAUAUUUUAACACGCCGCUUGUUUGUGUGUUGCAGGCAGUCAGGUUUUAGUUUGGUUGUCAUGCGGCAUAUAUAUCUUCAUGCCAAAGUUAACCUAUUACCCAAAGUAUCGUCGCACAUAUCUGCGAUUUACAAUCAAGUCAAUCUUAAUAGAUAGUUUGCCCUUCAUACCAUCUGUGGCAUUGUGCACACCUGAGCAUGUUUUUGUCUCGGCAUGCGUAUGUGCAUGUGUGUUUGUGCAGGCUUUGUCUGCAGGCUGGCUGACCGGACAGGUAAGAUUUUGCUCAUACUGGAGUGUUAGUUGAAAGUGCAAAGCGGCAGAGAUUCUCAAGAAAAGCUGUGUGUCCACUGACAGAAACAAGGUGUCUCUCCUCCCCCUCUUUGUCUCACUCUUUCAGUGGAAAACAGAACAGUUCUGUCAGAGGCCAAAAGAUGAGCGGGAUCAGUGUGACCUUUUGGUCACAGCUCUCAGUUGUAAAAAUGCCUUGUCAUAAGAUGAUUUAAUGUUGGUUUUUUAUAAAUGCACAGUUUUUGUGCAGGAAAUCGCUGUUGUGCCUUUGGGAAUUAGGAGCAGAAACACAGGUGGCCCUCAGACAAUGAACUCGGUCUCAUUUUUCCACUGUGAGUCAGUGGGACAGGAGAAAGCACAUGGCUGCAGAGUGAAAAUUGGCGUGAUUAUCAUCUGAUUUACCCUGCCACCCUGCAGCUUAGAGCCUCACAGUGGGCCAUUCUGGCAGUGGCCAGUACAGAGCUGAGAAGAGGCUUGGAUUUGCCCAAAUUUUCUCUCAUUUGCUUUCUGAACAGCUUCAUCCUCCCUCCUUCUCCCCCUCCAGCUCACUCAUAUCUCACGCAAUUGAUUGAAACCCUAAACGGCAAGAUCAGGCUGAGCUCAAUCAAGCCUUUCUAUGAAUAGUGGAUUGGAUUUGAAUGUGAUGUGGUGUGUCGUGUCUUUAAGGGCAUUUCAGGUCAGAGGGCGGAAGACGGUGGGAUUGGCGGGAUGGGCGGGGGGGAUUUUGUUGCCCUGCACGUCUGAUACUGCAGUGUGGCAUGUUAUAUCGUACCGUUCGGUCCUAAGAUUUAUUGUCAAGACGCUCCGAGACUCUUGUCACUCCCUAAUUGGGCCGUCAGGCAUUUUGAGAAUGUCCACGAGUAGACUUGCUGUAGUUCCAGCUUGUGUAGGGAUCUGAGGGGUUUUCUCAGCCGUAUUUUUAAACAUUACACGUGUUUUCUGAUCUGUCUCUGCCACCUUUUCAUGUUCUACCCUUCACAGCUUUGGUGUUUCAAAAGUACCAGCACUGAGACUCAGUCACAGAUUUUUUUUAUAUUGCUAUUAAUAAUGUGGCAAGCCUCGAACUGUCAGUACAGUGUGCAGAUAGUGUGUGUUUUUGAGUUCAACAAGCACUUGUCUGCGUGCAUGUUUGUUGCUCCGGUAUGCCUUUGCUGUCCCCACCAAACACUUCAUGUUUUAAAUCUCUGCACAUCUCAGUGCAGGGCAUUUAAGUGCUUGACCUAAUUUCUCUGGCAGCGAAGAAUCCACUAGUGAAGGCCUUCCUCUGUGUGUGUAUAUGUGUGUGUGUGCAUGUGCGCACGCGCAUGUUGCUCUGGGUGUUUCCUUCUUGCCUUUCUAACAGGAAGCUGAUGUGGAGUUCAACUGAGGACAAGGAAAAGGCCCUUUCUUUCCACUGUGAAUCAUUUGAGAGAGAGAGAGAGAGAGAGAGAAAAAAAUGAAAAAAAGAGAAGGGGGGAAAAAAAGGACCAGGCCGCUGCAUUGAUUCAACCCUCUGCAAUCUGGCCCGCUUCUCUCCCUCUCUACUCCCCUACUCCCCCCCACCUCUCUCUCCUCUCUCUCUCACUUAUUCCCUGCCUUUCUGCCUCUUCAUUCUCUUUACCUUAUUGUCUGUUUCAGCUUUUUUUUUUUCCUCUCUCCCGCUCCUUUGUCUUAUUCCUAUUUCUUCUGAUGUUGGAUAGACAGCAGUGUUCUGGAGGGAAUCGGCGGGUUUAUGGAGAGUUCACGAGUCCUGUGAGAAGAUGGGGAGGGGGGGAAGAGGAAAGGAAAGACGAAAAGCAAAUGAAGCAAGGCUCUAUGGGGAGCAGUGCAGGUUCUUCCGGUUCAGUUUUUAGAUACCCACAGCAAAAUGUGGCUGCCUACUCUAUGUACUUGGGGGCUGAAAUAACAUAAAACGCCUACACAAACUGGACCAUGGGCUUUAUUGAAGCAAGUGUAGAGGCACUGUGAGGGAUUGUGAACCCCCAUAUACUCCUUGAAGCUUUAAUUGUAUGAAAAAAGCUUAGAGUAGCUGAUAAACCCUCCUUUAGUGAGAGAUAAAUAGAUAAACAGCUUAAAUUUUUAACUAGGUUUCUCGCUGCAUUAAAAAUGAUACACGAAAAAUGUUUUUCCUAUAAUAUCACUGUGCUAAUACAACUGGAUUCUUUUUUGGGUCAUAAAUGUCACAUUUAUUUGAUGGUCAGUGAUUUUUUGUGUAGGAAAACGUCAGAUACGUCUGGGACACUGAUUAUAAAUCAACAACGGACAAAAGCAAAUGUUAAAAACAGCGUCACAGCACGUCCUAGACCCCACUCUCACAAAUGUCAGUAGAGGUUUUGUGAAUGUGCAGCAGUAAAGGGGGAUUUUGAGGGAUUGAAUAAGAAGAGAUAGUCUGACAAAAGCCACCUCCUCAGCCUCUUUCAUGCGCUUGCAAAAUCAUAAACUGUUUGAUUAGUAUGUCUGCAGGGCUAAGCCACAGCGUAGAGAGGAUACGGUGCUGCUGCAGCACAACAGGAAUAUUCAUGAAUAUGCCGUUGUUGUCACAGAGCAGUCAAAAUAAGUCCUGUUUUUUUAAUGAAGUGUGCUGUGAAAUAAUGAAAUAAUGCAGUGACCCUUUCCUCACCUCUCAAACAGCGUAUAGAUUUAUUUAAAAGAAGUCCGUUAUGUGUUUUAUUCAUGUAAAAGGAGAAUAGAUUAAUGUUCAAUGUUGAAAUGCUGUGAAUUUUUAAAAUAAUCUUCAUGUCAGUUGUCUCAGAGAGAGAUGCCCCCCCCCCCCCCGUUUGUUCAUGUCCGUUUAUGUCGGUAUAAAUCUGCCCUAUUUUAGUUGUCCUGACUUUGGUUUUGUUGAUGAAUUUUCCCAUUUAGAAUAACUGUCUCUGAUAUUUUAUAAAACAAAUUAUAUGGUAUAUGUCUUUGGUUAAUGAACACGUUGAACAAAUAUUGUUACAAUGUGAUUUAUGAAUUUAUUAUAUAAUUUUAUAGCACUAAAAAAUAAAAAUCUUGUGUUUGAAUAUAAAAAUGAAUAAAAACCAGCUGGUGCUCUGACCAGCAGCGCUGACAUGUGACAGCAGAAAUGUUCCAGCAAGGAUGUACUGUGCUCAGCAUGUACUGGAACACUGUGGGAGAACGACACGCUACGAAGCGACAGACCAAAUGCCUAAUCAAUCACCGAUCUUGAUCAUUUUUCCCUCUGCCGAAUCAAAAACCAAAGUGGUGAUGUUGUAGAUUUAUUCGUAGUUUUAAUCAUUUUCUCUGUGUUGUGUAUCUGGUGCAGGGCAAGUGAGGACACAAGCACAGGUGGAAGCACAGGACCUUAGAUCCUGCAUGUGAGGUAAGUGCAUCGCCAUGAUAACACACACACACACACACACACACACACACACACACACACACACACACACACACACACACAAAUGUUCUUUCAGUCUAUGAAGAAAAACAUGCUUUAACAAAUGAACAGAUUGAAUUCAGCUUUAGGAUUCAUGUUUGAAAAACAGAUCCUAAAAUGUUGCAGAGUUGGAAAUAUUAUUUUUAUUUGUUGAUUUAAAGUUGUAGCCUCUUACCUUAUUUGAACUCGUACUCUCUAUCAGUGAAGCAGCUGUGAAAAAUGAUCAAAAGGAGUACCUUACAGAGUUAAGGGGAUAUGAGAGAGAAUCCAGUAUUGGGAGUCUUUGAACCUUACAGCACAAACUGUCCUUUUUCAGUUCAUGUAAAAAUGUGAUUUGAACAUUUGCUCAAAUGAAGAGUUGCUGUGUAUUUUAUCAAUGUGGCCAAAUUUAGUUUUUUUAACGGACCACAGAAACUCAAACAGAGUCUAGUGAUGAGCUCGAGUUUGUCCAGGAACACUGAUCGCAAAGAGUCCUGCCUUUGUCUCAGUGUGAAAGAAAGUUUUGUUAAGUGGGAUUUUUGUGAGGAAAAGUGUGGAAAGAAAAAAAAUUGUUUUCCUGUUAGAUCAAAAGUAAGUACUAAAUCCUAGUGACCGUAAUUGACCUGAAAAUAAGAUAACCCUGAUGAUAAGACUGCCCUCGAAAAAAAAACAUUUUUUUUAUAGCAGGAAGACUCUUUGAAGACCAAAUGUUGUUUUUAUGGAGAAAAUUUAGUAAUUGAUAAUAAAUCAAACUUACACAGUUAAAAAAAAGUAGAUGGUUGUUUGUAACACCUUUUAAAGAAACUCAAUUUCUCUUCAAUUUCUUUUUAAAAUAAAUUGUGAGGUGAAAAUGGGAUUAAAUAUAUGACCUGUGUCUUCAUAAAGCACAUAUGGUAGUUGUAUAUAUUUUGUCAUUUUGCUUUAGGAAUUCAGUUAAACUGCAGUCUUUAUGAGGGCUGACCGUUUCGCUCAUGACCGUACUCUCAGUGCUUGUUUCAGUCACACACAUCUGCAUUUUUUAGUCCUUCGUCCUCUCCUGCUCUCUUUGGACAGUAAACAUAGAGAGACCUUCAUUUCUCUGCUGUUUGAUGGUUGUUUCAUGACUCUGCUUCAUUUGUGUUAUUGAUUUAUUGAUCUUAUAUCUUUGAGUUAUACUUGCCUAUAUUUAGAGGCAGUGAACAGAGCAUAAAAUAGGGGGGGAGUGACUUGCAGCAAAAGAGCCACAGGCUGGAAUCAAACCCUGGCUGCUCUCUUAAGGCAUCACUUCCAUGUUUGGACCUGUGUAGAUCGCUCGGCCUGCACUGCCCACACUUUCUUUUGCUUUAAUCACCUUUUAUUUUACAAUAUUUUUGCUUCAGUUGUUGGCUAACUUGCCCUGAUUGAAUCUACUUUCAUCUGAUCAUCGUGUCUCUGGUGCUGUGGUACUGAGCAAUGACUGGCCUCAGUCAUGAAGACGACACUAGCUUUACUAAUAAUUGGCACUUGUAGAGACCAAUAUUGCUUUUAAAUUGCUAAAUCUGGAAUAUUAGACAAUCCCACUUUUGUAGAAGUAUUUAGGUAGGAAAAUGAAAAAUAUCUCACAUUCAGGUGCUCUAACUUAUGGUUUCUCCCUGACAGGAUCAGUCCAUUUGUGCCAAUAAUUGCAGGGUGAAUUUUCAAGCUGAAUCUGACAUGUUUGUCAUUGAUAAGAAAUAACCCUCCUUCACAUCAAAUACAGUGUCACUCUGUAUGAAUUGAUUUCUUAAAUUCUAUAGAACACUAAGAAUCAGGGCACACAGCCCUCGUCACGUUAAAUGAUUGUCCCAUAAUUCAGAUCUUUUUUAGUAAAUGUGGAAACACAAGUUGCUUCACUGGGAUAGGGUGGGGUGUGAGUUUGAACAAUGCUUGGCAGCCGAAUUUGCAUUUCACUGAUGAAGUGAGACAGAGGAGUUUUUAGUUUUUAUUAGCUCAGCAAUAAAAUUAGCAGUGAAUUAUUCCAGACAGUUAGACUUAUUUGGAGUAUAAAGUAUAUAAAGUCCCUUCAGGAGUUGAAAUAGACAAGUUUGAUCUGUUCAGACUGUCCCCUCAGGGUGUCUCACCAAAUAAAACAGGACUGAUCAUAACUCUAUUUUAUUAAUUUCAUUUUAUUAGAAAUAAGCUAUAAUUAUGAAUCAUCCUUUUUUUAUUUGUGCUUUUUAUAUAAUAUAUUGUUAUAUAUUACAAAAGUGCCCAACCGUACAAAGCAAU